rnacentral:piRNA from 1 species
UGUGACUUGCAGAUGCCCCAGAAAUGGCUA